UAAUGGCGGCCGUGACCUUGGAUGAGUCCGGAGGCGGCCUCUACACGCCCAGAGGAGGCCUCAGCCUCGUCUGCAAGGCCUCAGGGUUCACCUUCAGCGAUAAUGGCAUGAUGUGGGUGCGACAGGCACCAGGAAACGGGCUGGAAUACGUCGCUGGUAUUGAUAGUGCUGCUGCUGGUAGUGACACAUACUACACGCCGGCGGUGAAGGGCCGUGCCACCAUCACGAGGGACAACGGGCAGAGCACAGUGAGGCUGCAGCUGAACAGCCUGAAGGACGAGGACUCGGCCAUGUAUUACUGCGCCAAAAGUGCUUAUGGUGCUGGUAGUGGUUGGGGUUAUGUUGCUUAUGGGAUCGAUGUCGCUGCUGGAUACAGAUACUACAAUGCAGAUGGUCAUGGUUAUGGUUAUGGUUACACUGACAGAUUUGGUAUGGAUGUGGAUACUGAUAUGGAUGUUUAUAUGGAUAUGGAUGUUGAUGUGGAUGUGGAUGUGGAUGUGGAUGUGGAUGUGGAUGUGGAUAUUCCCACCCCUGUUGUGGUGUCUGACACCAUCAAUCCAGGAUCAGCAUCAAUGCGAUCGACACUGGCUCACACUAUGGGCUCAGCUCCAGCACCUGGGCUCUGA